rnacentral:rRNA from 1 species
UACAGGGGGUGCAACCGUUGCUCGGAAUCUUUGGGCGUAAAGCGCACGUAGGCGGCUCGUUAUGUCGGAUGUGAAAGCCCUUGGCUUAACCGAGGAAGUGCAUCCGAAACUGGCGAGCUAGAGUACUAAAGAGGAUCGCGGAAUUCCCGGUGUAGAGGUGAAAUUCGUAGAUAUCGGGAGGAACACCGGUGGCGAAGGCGGCGAUCUGGGUAGAUACUGACGCUGAGGUGCGAAAGCGUGGGGAGCAAACAGG